rnacentral:rRNA from 1 species
UACGAAGGGGGCUAGCGUUGCUCGGAAUCACUGGGCGUAAAGCGCACGUAGGCGGCUUUCUAAGUCAGGGGUGAAAUCCUGGAGCUCAACUCCAGAACUGCCUUUGAUACUGAAGAUCUUGAGUUCGGGAGAGGUGAGUGGAACUGCGAGUGUAGAGGUGAAAUUCGUAGAUAUUCGGCGGAACACCAGUGGCGAAGGCGACUCACUGGCCCGAUACUGACGCUGAGGCGCGAAAGCGUGGGGAGCAAACAGG